rnacentral:rRNA from 1 species
UACAGAGGGUGCAAACGUUGUUCGGAAUUACUGGGCGUAAAGCGCGUGUAGGCGGUUCGGAAAGUCGGGUGUGAAAGCCCUGGGCUUAACCCAGGAAGUGCACUCGAAACUUCCGAGCUGGAGUCCUGGAGAGGAAGGCGGAAUUCUCGGUGUAGAGGUGAAAUUCGUAGAUAUCGAGAGGAACACCGGUGGCGAAGGCGGCCUUCUGGACAGUAACUGACGCUGAGGCGCGAAAGCGUGGGGAGCAAACAGG